rnacentral:rRNA from 1 species
UGCAAGUCGAGCGGCAGCGGAAAGUAGCUUGCUACUUUGCCGGCGAGCGGCGGACGGGUGAGUAAUGUCUGGGAAACUGCCUGAUGGAGGGGGAUAACUACUGGAAACGGUAGCUAAUACCGCAUAACGUCGCAAGACCAAAGAGGGGGACCUUCGGGCCUCUUGCCAUCAGAUGUGCCCAGAUGGGAUUAGCUAGUAGGUGGGGUAACGGCUCACCUAGGCGACGAUCCCUAGCUGGUCUGAGAGGAUGACCAGCCACACUGGAACUGAGACACGGUCCAGACUCCUACGGGAGGCAGCAGUGGGGAAUAUUGCACAAUGGGCGCAAGCCUGAUGCAGCCAUGCCGCGUGUAUGAAGAAGGCCUUCGGGUUGUAAAGUACUUUCAGCGGGGAGGAAGGCGUUGAGGUUAAUAACCUCAGCGAUUGACGUUACCCGCAGAAGAAGCACCGGCUAACUCCGUGCCAGCAGCCGCGGUAAUACGGAGGGUGCAAGCGUUAAUCGGAAUUACUGGGCGUAAAGCGCACGCAGGCGGUCUGUCAAGUCGGAUGUGAAAUCCCCGGGCUCAACCUGGGAACUGCAUUCGAAACUGGCAGGCUAGAGUCUUGUAGAGGGGGGUAGAAUUCCAGGUGUAGCGGUGAAAUGCGUAGAGAUCUGGAGGAAUACCGGUGGCGAAGGCGGCCCCCUGGACAAAGACUGACGCUCAGGUGCGAAAGCGUGGGGAGCAAACAGGAUUAGAUACCCUGGUAGUCCACGCCGUAAACGAUGUCGACUUGGAGGUUGUGCCCUUGAGGCGUGGCUUCCGGAGCUAACGCGUUAAGUCGACCGCCUGGGGAGUACGGCCGCAAGGUUAAAACUCAAAUGAAUUGACGGGGGCCCGCACAAGCGGUGGAGCAUGUGGUUUAAUUCGAUGCAACGCGAAGAACCUUACCUACUCUUGACAUCCAGAGAACUUUCCAGAGAUGGAUUGGUGCCUUCGGGAACUCUGAGACAGGUGCUGCAUGGCUGUCGUCAGCUCGUGUUGUGAAAUGUUGGGUUAAGUCCCGCAACGAGCGCAACCCUUAUCCUUUGUUGCCAGCGGUCCGGCCGGGAACUCAAAGGAGACUGCCAGUGAUAAUCUGGAGGAAGGGGGGGAUGAC